AGUGAACGCUGGCGGUAGGCCUAACACAUGCAAGUCGAACGGCAGCACAGUAAGCGCUUGCUCUUACGGGUGGCGAGUGGCGGACGGGUGAGGAAUACAUCGGAAUCUACUUUUUCGUGGGGGAUAACGUAGGGAAACUUACGCUAAUACCGCAUACGACCUACGGGUUAAAGCAGGGGAUCUUCGGACCUUGCGCGAUUGAAUGAGCCGAUGUCGGAUUAGCUAGUUGGCGGGGUAAAGGCCCACCAAGGCGACGAUCCGUAGCUGGUCUGAGAGGAUGAUCAGCCACACUGGAACUGAGACACGGUCCAGACUCCUACGGGAGGCAGCAGUGGGGAAUAUUGGACAAUGGGCGCAAGCCUGAUCCAGCCAUACCGCGUGGGUGAAGAAGGCCUUCGGGUUGUAAAGCCCUUUUGUUGGGAAAGAAAAGCAGCAGGUUAAUACCCCGCUGUUCUGACGGUACCCAAAGAAUAAGCACCGGCUAACUUCGUG
rnacentral:rRNA from 1 species